UACAGAGGUGGCAAGCGUUGUUCAGAAUUACUGGGCGUAAAGGGCGCGUAGGCGGCCUUCUUAGUCGGACGUGAAAUCCCCAGGCUCAACUUGGGAACUGCGUCCGAUACUGGAUGGCUUGAGUGCGGGAGAGGGAUGUGGAAUUCCAGGUGUAGCGGUGAAAUGCGUAGAUAUCUGGAGGAACACCGGUGGCGAAGGCGGCAUCCUGGACCAAUAUUGACGCUGAGGAGCGAAAGCCAGGGGAGCAAACGGG
rnacentral:rRNA from 1 species